GUGGGGAAUAUUGGGCAAUGGGCGAAAGCCUGACCCAGCAACGCCGCGUGAAGGAAGAAGGGCCUCGGGUUGUAAACUUCUUUUAAGAGGGACGAAAGAAAUGACGGUACCUCUUGAAUAAGCCACGGCUAACUACGUGCCAGCAGCCGCGGUAAUACGUAGGUGGCGAGCGUUAUCCGGAUUUACUGGGUGUAAAGGGCGUGUAGGCGGGAGUGCAAGUCAGAUGUGAAAAUUAUGGGCUCAACCCAUAACCUGCAUUUGAAACUGUUCUUCUUGAGUGAUGGAGAGGCAGGCGGAAUUCCGUGUGUAGCGGUGAAAUGCGUAGAUAUACGGAGGAACACCAGUGGCGAAGGCGGCUUACUGGACUGUAACUGACGCUGAGGCGCGAAAGUGUGGGGAGCAAACAGGAUUAGAAACCCGUGUAGUCC
rnacentral:rRNA from 1 species